UUAAGUUCAGCGGGUAGUCUUACUCGAUUUGAGGUCAAGUCGUCAGAGAUUGUCCGAAGACGGUUUGGAGCACAACAUCCCGAUCGGCCACCCUCUUUGCGAGGCACCGGCGAAAAACACUUAUCACGCCGUACUAUGUCCAACCAAGAGCUGCACUAACAUAUUUGAGGUGAGCCACGGUGAAGCAGCAAACCCAAGUC
rnacentral:misc_RNA from 1 species